GAUCUCACUUUUAGCGUUGAUGCUGAUGAGGAAAAGCUAAUACUGUAUGAAAAAACGGAGGUGACCGACCAUGAACUGAUCCCUGGAGGGCGGAACAUUAAAGUUACUGAGGAGAAUAAGCAUGAAUAUGUAGACCUAAUCGCCGAGCAUCGAUUAACCACAGCCAUUCGUCCUCAGAUAAAUGCAUUCCUGGAAGGGUUUAGUGAACUUAUCCUUAAAGAUCUAAUAUCGAUUUUUAACGACAAGGAACUGGAGUUAUUAAUAAGUGGUCUUCCUGAUAUCGACUUGGAUAACCUGAGGGCGAAUACUGAAUAUUCUGGGUAUAGUCCUGGAUCCCCUGUUAUCCAGUGGUUCUGGGAGGUUGUUCAGGGAUUAAGCAAAGAAGACAAAGCCCGUCUAUUGCAGUUUGUGACUGGAACCUCUA